rnacentral:rRNA from 1 species
UGGGGGAUAUUGCACAAUGGGCGAAAGCCUGAUGCAGCGACGCCGCGUGGGGGAUGAAGGCCUUCGGGUUGUAAACUUCUUUUGCUCUGAACAAGGCGCACCAUGGGGUGUGUUGAGUGUAGGGGUUGAUUAGCGCCGGCUAACUACGUGCCAGCAGCCGCGGUAAUACGUAGGGCGCGAGCGUUGUCCGGAAUUAUUGGGCGUAAAGGGCUUGUAGGUCGCUGGUUGCGUCUGUCGUGAAAGCUCAUGGCUUAACUGUGGGUUUGCGGUGGGUACGGGCUGGCUUGAGUGCAGUAGGGGAGGCUGGAAUUCCUGGUGUAGCGGUGGAAUGCGCAGAUAUCAGGAGGAAUACCGGUGGCGAAGGCGGGUCUCUGGGCUGUUACUGACACUGAGGAGCGAAAGCAUGGGGAGCGAACAGG